CAGUAGCCACGGGAAUACAGAGGGUGCGAGCGUUAAUCGGAUUUACUGGGCGUAAAGCGUGCGUAGGCGGCUUUUUAAGUCGGAUGUGAAAUCCCUGAGCUUAACUUAGGAAUUGCAUUCGAUACUGGGAAGCUAGAGUAUGGGAGAGGAUGGUAGAAUUCCAGGUGUAGCGGUGAAAUGCGUAGAGAUCUGGAGGAAUACCGAUGGCGAAGGCAGCCAUCUGGCCUAAUACUGACGCUGAGGUACGAAAGCAUGGGGAGCAAACAGGAUUAGAGACCCCCGUAGUCCCUGUCUCUUAUAC
rnacentral:rRNA from 1 species